rnacentral:rRNA from 1 species
CAGGCGGUUCUUUAAGUCUGAUGUGAAAGCCCCCGGCUCAACCCGGGGAGGGUCAUUGGAAACUGGGGAACUUGAGUGCAGAAGAGGAGAGUGGAAUUCCACGUGUAGCGGUGAAAUGCGUAGAGAUGUGGAGGAACACCAGUGGCGAAGGCGACUCUCUGGUCUGUAACUGACGCUGAGGAGCGAAAGCGUGGGGAGCGAACAGGAUUAGAUACCCUGGUAGUCCACGCCGUAAACGAUGAGUGCUAAGUGUUAGGGGGUUUCCGCCCCUUAGUGCUGCAGCUAACGCAUUAAGCACUCCGCCUGGGGAGUACGGUCGCAAGACUGAAACUCAAAGGAAUUGACGGGGGCCCGCACAAGCGGUGGAGCAUGUGGUUUAAUUUGAAGCAACGCGAAGAACCUUACCAGGUCUUGACAUCCUUUGACAAUCCUAGAGAUAGGACGUCCCCUUCGGGGGCAGAGUGACAGGUGGUGCAUGGUUGUCGUCAGCUCGUGUCGUGAGAUGUUGGGUUAAGUCCCGCAACGAGCGCAACCCUUGAUUUUAGUUGCCAGCAUUCAGUUGGGCACUUUAAGGUGACUGCCGGUGACAAACCGGAGGAAGGUGGGGAUGACGUCAAAUCAUCAUGCCCCUUAUGACCUGGGCUACACACGUGCUACAAUGGACAGAACAAAGGGCAGCGAAACCGCGAGGUUAAGCCAAUCCCACAAAUCUGUUUUCAGUUCGGAUCGCAGUUUGCAACUUGACUGCGUGAAGCUGGAAUCGCUAGUAAUCGCGGAUCAGCAUGCCGCGGUGAAUACGUUCCCGGGCCUUGUACACACCGCCCGUCACACCCCGAGAGUUUGUAACACCCGAAGUCGGUGAGGUAACCUUUAUGGAGCCAGCCGCCGAAGGUGGGACAGAUGAUUGGGGUGAAGUCGUAACAAGGUAGCCGUAUCGGAA